ensembl:snRNA U6 U6 spliceosomal RNA
GUGCUUGCUUCAAUGGCACAUAAUACUAAAAAUGAGGUGAUAUAUAGAAGAAUAGCAUGGCCCCUAUGCAAGGACAUUGCACAAGUUUGUGAAGUGUUCCACAUUAAA